rnacentral:rRNA from 1 species
CCUACGGGUGGCAGCAGUGAGGAAUAUUGGUCAAUGGGCGGAAGCCUGAACCAGCCAAGUCGCGUGAGGGAAUAAGGCCCUACGGGUCGUAAACCUCUUUUGCCGGGGAGCAAGGGCGGGGACGUGUCCCGGCCCGGAGAGUACCCGGAGAAAAAGCAUCGGCUAACUCCGUGCCAGCAGCCGCGGUAAUACGGAGGAUCCGAGCGUUAUCCGGAUUUAUUGGGUUUAAAGGGAGCGUAGGUGGAUUGUUAAGUCAGUUGUGAAAGUUUGCGGCUCAACCGUAAAAUUGCAGUUGAAACUGGCAGUCUUGAGUAUAUUUGAGGUAGGCGGAAUGCGUGGUGUAGCGGUGAAAUGCAUAGAUAUCACGCAGAACUCCGAUUGCGAAGGCAGCUUACUAAACUAUAACUGACACUGAAGCACGAAAGCGUGGGGAUCAAACAGGAUUAGAUACCCCAGUAGUC